CCUACGGGAGGCAGCAGUGGGGAAUUUUGGACAAUGGGCGCAAGCCUGAUCCAGCAAUGCCGCGUGCAGGAUGAAGGCCUUCGGGUUGUAAACUGCUUUUGUACGGAACGAAACGGUCUACCCUAAUACGGUGGGCUAAUGACGGUACCGUAAGAAUAAGCACCGGCUAACUACGUGCCAGCAGCCGCGGUAAUACGUAGGGUGCGAGCGUUAAUCGGAAUUACUGGGCGUAAAGCGUGCGCAGGCGGUUAUAUAAGACAGAUGUGAAAUCCCCGGGCUCAACCUGGGACCUGCAUUUGUGACUGUAUAGCUAGAGUACGGUAGAGGGGGAUGGAAUUCCGCGUGUAGCAGUGAAAUGCGUAGAUAUGCGGAGGAACACCGAUGGCGAAGGCAAUCCCCUGGACCUGUACUGACGCUCAUGCACGAAAGCGUGGGGAGCAAACAGGAUUAGAUACCCUGGUAGUCCACGCCCUAAACGAUGUCAACUGGUUGUUGGGUCUUCACUUGACUCAGUAACGAAGCUAACGCGUGAAGUUGACCGCCUGGGGAGGCGGUCCGCGAGUUAGUUAAGUAAAGUUAAGUUAGUAGNGNGNGAGNGCGACGGACGACGACGAGGAGGAGG
rnacentral:rRNA from 1 species